rnacentral:rRNA from 1 species
GCGCAGCAGUCGCGAAAUCUCUCCAAUGUGUGAAACAUGAGAGGGGUAUUCCAAGUUCCCUUGUUAUGCAAGGGAUUUCUUUGGUCCAAGACGCCAAAGGAAUAAGAGCUGGGUAAGACCGGUGCCAGCCGCCGCGGUAACACCGGCAGCUCGAGUGGUGGCCACUAUUAUUGGGCCUAAAGCGUUCGUAGCCGGGCAGGUAAGUGCUCUGGUAAAUCCCAUAACUAAUUAUGGGGCUUCAGAACAUACUG